CACUAAGAAGCUAAACGGUAAAAGCGUUAGCCUUUUAAGCUAAAGAAUGGUGACUACCAACCACCCUUAGUGA
rnacentral:tRNA from 1 species